rfam:Kluyvera intermedia strain CAV1151, complete genome.
AUCGGUUUGGAAUACAGACCUUAUGAAAGCAGUUUUAGUAAAGCAGUCCUCAGUUCAAGUGUUAUCCAUAGAUACCCUUCUUCGUGAGCCUCCUCCUAAGUGCCAAAUAAGUUACUCUAACAUUACAGGCCAUUAUUGCCACUCUGCGUGGCCCAUAAAUUUAAGGAAGUAUCUAUGUCUAACAAAAUGACUGGUUUAGUAAAAUGGUUUAACUCCGAUAAAGGUUUUGGCUUUAUCACUCCUGACGACGGCAGCAAAGAUGUCUUUGUUCAUUUCUCUGCUAUCCAGAGCGACAGCUACAAAACGCUUGAUGAAGGUCAGAAAGUUUCCUUCACUAUCGAAAGUGGCGCGAAAGGCCCUGCGGCUGGUAACGUCACCGCGCUGUAAGUCGCGCUAAUUAUCAGUGAUGUUUACAAUAGCGAUGAAGACAAUAGUCUG